rnacentral:pre_miRNA from 2 species
GCAGGGAGGUUGAACAUCCUGCAUAGUGCUGCCAGGAAAUCCCUAUUUUAUAGUAAGGGGGCUGGCUGGUUGCAUAUGUAGGAUGUCCCAUCUCCCCGCCCACCUCAUCG